UUGCACCACCUGUGGAACUACAGCUGCUGCGUCGAUUCCACGGAACUGACACUUCUGAAAAUGCAGCAGAUUAGGGGAGAAAGUGAGAGAUCUUCCUUUAAAAGAGGAGCCCUAGGUGAAAAUACCUUCUGGUAUUCUGAAAAGGAGAAGAUAGAGAUACUAAAAUGGAAUAAAAGAAAGAGGAACAGAAAGCAAAAGACGAUGAGCCACAAAGAAAGAGGAAUGAUGGUAAGAAAAGUGGGAAGGAAAAGACAGGUGGUGGGUUUUGUUAAGUGUGUGCACGCAAAGUAACUCGUUUGCAACCGCAACUGCUAUUUUGCACAUGAGCAAAGUCAUAUAGCUCAACAGAAUUUGAAACAACGGGUCCUAGUCUAAUGCUACGUGCCUCAUCCUAAAGAGGCCUACAUUCAGGGAUAAGUCAAAUACUUAGUAUGACAAGAGCAUGCAGAGGAUAUAGAAUGGGGGGAAAGCUGGAGAUGAACAUCACAAAAAACCCCUCCCCCAAAAAACUGUGCUGUGAAUUUUGGUGGGAAAUAAGUCUCUGGAUGUCAAUGUUCAACAUUCAGUGUCAAUGUCCAACAUUCAAAUGUGCUAUAAAACCUGCUGUAUUUCACCAGAGACAUUAAUGAAGCUUUGCUGGGGAAAGAUGAAUAUUGGAGAUGGAAGUACAGUAGAAUCAAAGAAGAACGCAUUAGAUGAGAGGAAGGAAAUCAUGUGAGAAGCAGAUCUUUAUCUAAAAAGGACAAAGCUAAAUGCACCAACAUCAAUCUGCUCAGCAAUUUGUAAGAAAACUGAGAACUGGGAAUGUAUUUUGCAUUCCACCUGUAUUUAUGAAGCCAAUUCUAGGA